AACAAACAUCCAUUUCUACCUCCCACCACAAGCGGACGUUAGGAACCCAUACCCCUUAAUGGUAGUAAAUCAAUCACCAAAUGUGCUUCUGUUGAUUCUGCACCUUUACCAGGGUAAGAGGUGGGAGUGGAGUGGAUGGGGGAGCCCCACCUGUCAAUCCUGUGCUGUGAGGACAGGAGUGCGUUUUCUUCCUGCCACUGUCACCUGGCAGCUCAGGGAUGUGAGAUUCUCCUCCAUUGCGUUUCUGCCCACGGAAAAAGAAGAGAGACCACACCUCAGUACCUUUGGAAAUAAAAGCAACCUGG